UGUUGCGCAUACACUUGCCUUCAUGACUAAGUGGCUUAACCCCAAUUAUGCCGUGGACACCUGCGAAUGGGGAGACUUUGACAUAAUCAAAGAUUAAGUACUUAACCACAAGACAACGACGAUGCCUCAGGUCAAAGGACUACUUACGUUAUUCCAACCAUUAGAGUUACUUACUUGACAUGUGAGUAGACCUCCAUGCAAGUACUCUCGUUCGAUUGUGUUCAGUGAACUCAUUCCCUUAAUGAGCACCUACAUACUUGUCUUAGUGUCACAACACGAAUGGGAUGAGGCUUUCCAUCCUUCCAUUUGAAGCAGACACAGUAUGUACCGGUGAUAGGAGCAUAUUUAUGCGCCUUAGUUAGCUAGUUCUUAUGCAUUUAUGUUAUGUUUUCUUAGUUAAGUUAGUCUUUUAAGCUAUUUUCAUGUGUUUUCAGGUUUUAGAGACAAAGUGAGCAAAAGGAUGCAAUUUGGAGCAUUUUGGAGCAAAAUUGGGCUAGAAUGGAGUUCAUGCACAUGAAGCACAAGGGAUGGACGAAUUUGAGGAAUUGAUGAAGCUUGGAAGGCGUUUCAAAGUUGAAGAAUUGAAGAUACCAAGUUUCCUAGUUGAAGUAGGAAAGAGCUUACAUGAAGGAUUCCUAAAUGAAGAAGGAUUCCUAAUCAAUGUAGGAGUCCUAAUUGAAAAUGGAUUCCUAGACGAAUGAAGUUUCCGACUCAAGCAAGGUUUCCUAUGUGAAGAAGAAGAGUAAAGUCAAAGAAUCAGCUCAAGAGAAGGAUCUUAUCCAAAACCUCAUCCAUAACCUUAUCUUAGCUUAUCUUAUCCUAUCCUAUCUUAUCCUUAUCCUAAACUAUCCACAUUUCAGCCACUUAGGAGGGUUUCUAAUUAGAUUAGGAUGCUUAAAAUGGGAUUUCUAGAAGCCCUAUCCCUUCCUAGAUAAGUGCCGCACCCUAUACCUUAAUUCCCUUGGAAUUUCAGAUUUCUAGAAGCCUUAUCUUUUCACACUCUUUGUGCCGCACCUUAUCUCCCAAUCCCUUUGGGUUUUUGACUUGUUUUCCUUAUAGGAUUGUAUGUUAUUAUCCUAUGCAACUUAGGCUUUUAAAACCUUGUCCUUGGCUACCUAGGAGAUGGGAUUUUCAGCCUAUAAAUACAAGGCCUUGCCGCACCCUUUCAUUCACCACCCUCUACCAGAUUUUCACUACACCAUUCACCCCCAACCAUCCCUCAUUGUGCCGUGAGUUUGCAAGGAGAAGAAGGAAGACAACUUGGAGCCGUGCAUGCCAUUCAAGGAGCUUGGAUUAUGGAGCGUUUCUAGGUGUUUUCUAUCUUUAUGUCAAUGAUUAAAUUUAUUUAUCUUUGUUUAUUUGCGAACAUGAGGAACUAAUUUCUUUAUAGUUAGAGGGGAAUUCAAAGCCAUGAUCAUAUGUUUUAUAUAACUUGAUUUCUUCCAAUUAUGAUUUCAUGAAUCGUGAAUGUGGUUUACUUAUCUAUUUGAUUGAUAACAUGUUUAUGUAUGUUGAUUGAGGGUCGACACUUAGUUUGCAUGCAUGAAUUUGAUGCUAGAGUAUAAGGCAAUUUCACCUAAUCGUUAUUAACUUAUAUUCAUAAGUAGUAAAAGUCGCUAGUCACGAUUGUGUUAAGUGAAUCUUAGGCAAGAGUAACAUGCAUAUCCCAUAGUUAUGAAUGCCUCGUCAAUGCUUAUGAUUUCCAUUGAACUUAAUGAUCUUUGAUAUGUGUCUCUAUCAUGCGUAUUCCAUAGGUAGGGUCCUUGAUAAGAAUAAUUUGGUUGUAAUGCG
rnacentral:lncRNA from 1 species